CAUCUAGUUAUUAAACAUGUGUAUGAAUAAGCGAGUGACUUGUCCGAUUUUUUUUUGGAAAAAAUUUGCCCUUUGUUUCAUUCUUUCUUUUUUUUAAUCAUGAGGAGAAAAGUUUACAUAUGACUCAUAUAUGAUUCCAUUUUAUUUUGUCCUGUAACCGGUAAUGCGUAUUCUAAAGAAUUCUGACGCAAUUUUAUCUGGGACUUGAAGUUAGAACCUUUUUAUUGAUAAGUGGAGAGCAUAGACAAGGAUGUCAAAGGUAUUAUAAGGGUUUACGUUCUUCCUUUUUUUUGUUCAGAACACAAGGUGCAGGGUUUUUAUGAUGGAUACAUAAGGUUGGAUAAUAAAGAGAAUGCAGCAAUUUGGAGAACAGAUGAUAAGAGAAUGUGGUUUGUGGUUGGAUUUGUAUAGUCCGUGGAAGGUUAUUGCUUUUAUUCUAGUCUUAGCAAUGUUGAGUGAGAGACCGCAUAAAGAAGUGAUUUUGGACGUCGAGCAGGAAGUCACUAGUGUAAAAUACUGAUGGAGUGUGAUGGGAAGAGGUAAUGAUGGAUGUAUUUGUAGAUUGUUUGACUUAGAGCCAGGGGCGGCCCAAGCCUAAGGCCUCGGCCCAAAGGAAGGCCUCCGGCCCUCCAUUUUUCAGCCUCCAGGGCAUCACCAUUUUGGGAAUUAGGAUCGCCAUUCGCCGUCGAAGAAGAAGUUGGAAGAGUCACGGAAGGAAGCCCGAAGCCUACAAGCCUUAACUGCCUGCCUGCCUAUGAAGUACGAUCUAGCCUCCAGCCUCCAGGCAUGGCAGCAUGGCCAAUGCGGCAACGCCCAACGGGCAAUGGACAACGGGGCUAUGGAGGGCCCUAUGCCCCUACGAUCCUCCAUGGCCCGUCUUCUCCAUCCGCCGGCCGUAGUCACCAGAAUGGCAGUCUUGGCUGAAUCCCAGAUAAGUAGAUAACCAGAGAGAGUCCUUCUCCAGUUCUCCUUCUAAACUCUUCUUCAAUCUUCAGUUCUUCCUUCCCUAAUCCCUAGCCCUAGUUGAUUCAAUCUUCGGUUCUUCCGAGUUCCGAGUUCCGUCCUUCGCCCGUUCGCCGUCCUCGGCUCGGUUCUUCCGAGUUCCAUCCUUCGCCUGUCUCUUCUCCUUCUCGGCCCAGCCCUCCGUCGCCGCCAUCGCCGGAGCCCGGAGGAAUGCCCCUUCAAGGGUUGUGGUAGAUAAGGUUGCGACAUUCUCAUAUCCUUCUUCAGUAUGUUUUCGCACUUUUCUUCCUUCUGUCCUAUUUCUUUCCUGCUUCUACUUUUUGUGCAUCCUUCCUUGCAGCAAGGUUUUAUGUGCAGAUUCCAGAGACACCAAUCAUUGGAUUAGAUUUGAAAGUUCAGCAGGCUAAGAAGUUCGCUGUGACACAAGCACAACAGGAAGGAUGCCUCGGAAAUUAUAGAAGUUUUGACUCUCCCUUUGGAAACUAUCUUGUUCCUGUAAUCCCAACUCAUGCUGACUUGAUUGGGUAGAAGACCGGCCAUUAAUUAUCAGUUACUCCAAGCUGCCUGCCUUGGUUUUUGAACAGAAAAAUUCAAUGUUGAUAGUUCUGCUGAUUCUGCAAUAGAUUUAUUUAUCAAGCCACAUUCUUCAAAUGCUAUUAAAUUAUUGGUUGGAUAGCCUUAUGAAGUAACCAUUUUCAACAACCAACCCUUGAAAUUUUGGAUAGGCUCACAAAGUUGAGGUUGGAUAAAUGAGAACCUCAUCAACUAAAUGUAACUUUUGAAUGAGAUGCUUUGCAAGAGUGAUAGUCUGUAAUCCUGAUAAGCAUUUUAUUAUUCUAUACAUUUUAUAUGGCAGCUAUAGCUUUUGAAACA